CGGUGUUCGAAACAUUAUUUUUGCAGUAUAAUUUUGAACACGCAACUGGACAAAUGACCUUCUCAUCAAAAGGACGUUAAAAGAAGAAAUCGGGAGGGUGAAAGCGGUUACUGUUUCAAAACAAAGCAUCUAAAAGGUGUAAAAGACACUGCUUCGCCAUUCUAGAUACCUUUGUAAAAAAUUCUUCACACCAGUCAACUCAAGAUGUGAAAAGUCCAUUACAUCAACAGCGAAACUAUGCUGAUAUCCUGACUGAAGCUGAAGUUGAAGAGAGGAAGGCCUAAUCUACAUGGUCUGGCUCCAAAUUUAUGCAGUCUCAGAUUUAUCACCUGCUAACUGGUUUUAGGACAAAGGAUUGAGAACUUGUCAGGCAUUGUUUUUUUCAUUAUUGUAACCUACCAACUUACCAAACUACCAACCUGUCCUAUCACCCCCUUCCCCCACCUCAAUUAUUUAUUAAUUUCUUUUAUCUUUGAGUUUAACUAAACUUGGCUCAUUAAACA